AACGUAGGACACAAGCGUUAUCCGGAGUUACUGGGCGUAAAGAGCGUGUAGGCGGCUCGAUCAGUCCGCUGUGAAAGUCCAGGGCUCAACCCUGGAAAGCCGGUGGAUACUGUCGGGCUAGAGUACGGAAGAGGCGAGUGGAAUUCCUGGUGUAGCGGUGAAAUGCGCAGAUAUCAGGAGGAACACCAAUGGCGAAGGCAGCUCGCUGGGACGAUACUGACGCUGAGACGCGAAAGCGUGGGGAGCAAACAGG
rnacentral:rRNA from 1 species